GAUUCUGGCUCAGGAUGAACGCUAGCGACAGGCUUAACACAUGCAAGUCGAGGGGCAGCACGGGAGUAGCAAUACAACUGGUGGCGACCGGCGCACGGGUGAGUAACGCGUAUGCAACCUACCUAUCAGAGGGGAAUAACCCGGCGAAAGUCGGACUAAUACCGCAUAAAACAGGGGCACCGCAUGGUGAUAUUUGUUAAAGAGAUUCGCUGAUAGAUGGGCAUGCGUUCCAUUAGGUAGUUGGUGAGGUAACGGCUCACCAAGCCGACGAUGGAUAGGGGAACUGAGAGGUUGGUCCCCCACACUGGUACUGAGACACGGACCAGACUCCUACGGGAGGCAGCAGUGAGGAAUAUUGGUCAAUGGGCGGGAGCCUGAACCAGCCAAGUCGCCGUGAAGGAAGAAGGAUCUAUGGUUCGUAAACUUCUUUUGCAGGGGAAUAAAGUGCAGGACGUGUCCUGUUUUGUAUGUACCCUGAGAAUAAGGAUCGGCUAACUCCGUGCCAGCCGCCGC
rnacentral:rRNA from 1 species